GCAGUAGCCACGGGAAUACGAAGGGUGCAAGCGUUACUCGGAAUUACUGGGCGUAAAGCGUGCGUAGGUGGUGGUUUAAGUCCGUUGUGAAAGCCCUGGGCUCAACCUGGGAAUUGCAGUGGAUACUGGGUCACUAGAGUGUGGUAGAGGAUAGUGGAAUUUCCGGUGUAGCAGUGAAAUGCGUAGAGAUCGGAAGGAACAUCUGUGGCGAAGGCGACUAUCUGGGCCAACACUGACACUGAGGCACGAAAGCGUGGGGAGCAAACAGGAUUAGAUACCCGGGUAGUCCCUGUCUCUUAUAC
rnacentral:rRNA from 1 species